GAGGAACACAGAAAUCAGGCUCACCUGAGGAAUGUCGCCUACAAGCAGCGCAUUUCCAACUACUAUGACUCAAGGGUCAAACCUCGCUCUUUCAAAGUGGGAGACUGGGUACUGAAGAAAAGAUUACUCUGUGAUAGGGUCCCGAGUGAAGGAACACUCAGUCCUAACUGGGACGGACCGUUCGAGGUCGUCGGCAUCAGCCGCCCUGGCUCCUAUAAGCUCAUAAACUCCGACGGCAAGACCCUUGGCCAUCCAUGAAAUGCUGACCAUUUGAAGUACUAUUACAAAUAGACUCACAUUGUACAAGUGUUAAGCUACAACCGUUCGGCAUCCUAUGUAACAAAGACCAUUUGGUAUGAAUUCAAUAAAGAGGUGAUUUAGCCAACUCGACCAUAAACUAUUUUCCAUUCUGAGCAAUGAAACACUCAAGUGUUGAAGCUUGAAUGCAAAUGUUUCCAAUACAAAACAAAAUCUAAGUAUGUGUCAACAAGACUAUACAAAAGAUCUACAUCAUACAUUCCAACACAUUCAUACAUAAACAUCAUACAUUCCAACACAUUCAUACAUAAACAUCAUACAUUCCAACACAUUCAUACAUAAACAUCAUACAUUCCAAUACUUUCAUAACAUAAACAUCAUACAUUCUAACACAUUCAUGCAUAAACAUCAUACAUUCCAACACAUCCAUACAUAAGCCAACUGUGCUUCGAAAGGGUUCAACACACUUUGUGUCAUUCGACAUUUGCCACAAUGUGCCUCAACACCUUGCCCUUAUUCUCACCAACUAGGUGAUGAAGGAACUCACCUUCGUACCACCAACUAGGUGA
rnacentral:lncRNA from 1 species